rnacentral:rRNA from 1 species
UACGAAGGGGGGCUAGCGUUGCUCGGAAUCACUGGGCGUAAAGCGCACGUAGGCGGCUUACUAAGUCAGGGGUGAAAUCCUGGAGCUCAACUCCAGAACUGCCUUUGAUACUGGUGAGCUUGAGUCCGGAAGGGGCGAGUGGAAUUCCUGGUGUAGCGGUGAAAUGCGCAGAUAUCAGGAGGAACACCAAUGGCGAAGGCAGCUCGCUGGAACGGUACUGACGCUGAGGCGCGAAAGGCGUGGGGGAGCGAACGGG